rnacentral:rRNA from 1 species
UGGGCAACCUGCCCCUAGCACUGGGAUAACCCCGGGAAAACCGGAAGCUAAUACCGGAUACUCCGGCUGGAUCGCAUGGUCCGGCCGGGAAAGGUCCGCCGGGAGAGGGAUGGGCCCGCGGCCUAACAGCUUGUUGGUGGGGUCAUGGCUCACCAAGGCGACGACGGGUAGCUGGUCUGAGAGGACGACCAGCCACACUGGAACUGAGAUACGGUCCAGACUCCUACGGGAGGCA